rnacentral:rRNA from 1 species
UACGAAGGGGGCUAGCGUUGCUCGGAAUCACUGGGCGUAAAGGGUGCGUAGGCGGGUCUUUAAGUCAGGGGUGAAAUCCUGGAGCUCAACUCCAGAACUGCCUUUGAUACUGAGGAUCUUGAGUUCGGGAGAGGUGAGUGGAACUGCGAGUGUAGAGGUGAAAUUCGUAGAUAUUCGCAAGAACACCAGUGGCGAAGGCGGCUCACUGGACCGGAACUGACGCUGAGGCGCGAAAGCGUGGGGAGCAAACGGGG